rnacentral:tRNA from 1 species
GCAGUUGUGGCCGAGUGGUUAAGGCGUUAGACUUGAAAUCUAAUGGGGUCUCCCCGCGCAGGMUCGAACCCUGCCGACUGCG